rnacentral:piRNA from 1 species
UCUUAAGCUAAAUCAUCCAAAGAUUGU